UUGGUUAAGUUAGAAAGGGCGCACGGUGGAUGCCUUGGCACUAGGAGCCGAAGAAGGACGGGACUAACACCGAUAUGCUUUGGGGAGCUGUACGUAAGCGUUGAUCCAGAGAUUUCCGAAUGGGGGAACCCACUAUCUUUAGUCGGAUAGUAUCCUUACGUGAAUACAUAGCGUGAGGAAGGCAGACCCAGGGAACUGAAACAUCUAAGUACCUGGAGGAAGAGAAAGAAAAAUCGAUUUCCUGAGUAGCGGCGAGCGAAACGGAAAGAGCCCAAACCAAGAAGCUUGCUUCUUGGGGUUGUAGGACACUCUAUACGGAGUUACAAAAGAAAGUUAUAAAUGAAGCGGUCUGGAAAGGCCCGCCAAAGACGGUAACAGCCCGGUAGUUGAAAUGGCUUUCCCUCCAGAGUGGAUCCUGAGUACGGCGGAACACGUGAAAUUCCGUCGGAAUCCGGGAGGACCAUCUCCCAAGGCUAAAUACUCCCUAGUGACCGAUAGUGAACCAGUACCGUGAGGGAAAGGUGAAAAGCACCCCGGAAGGGGAGUGAAACAGUUCCUGAAACCGUGUGCCUACAAGUAGUUAGAGCCCGUUAAUGGGUGAUAGCGUGCCUUUUGUAGAAUGAACCGGCGAGUUACGAUUUGUUGCAAGGUUAAGCGGAAAAAGCGGAGCCGUAGCGAAAGCGAGUCUGAAUAGGGCGCAUAAGUAACAGGUCGUAGACCCGAAACCAGGUGAUCUACCCAUGUCCAGGAUGAAGGUAAGGUAAUACUUACUGGAGGUCCGAACCCACGCACGUUGAAAAGUGCGGGGAUGAGGUGUGGGUAGCGGAGAAAUUCCAAUCGAACUUGGAGAUAGCUGGUUCUCUCCGAAAUAGCUUUAGGGCUAGCCUCGAGGUAAAGAGUCAUGGAGGUAGAGCACUGUUUGGACUAGGGGCCCUUCUCGGGUUACCGAAUUCAGAUAAACUCCG
rnacentral:rRNA from 1 species